rnacentral:tRNA from 1 species
AAGGCCUUAAGUUAAAGACAAACUAAUAACCUUCAAAGCUAUAAAUAAAGGGCUCCCUUUAGGCCUUG